rnacentral:tRNA from 1 species
GGGAAGAUGGCUCAGUGGUAGAGCGCUUGCCUUGUAUGCAUGAGGCCCUGGGUUCGAUUCCUCAGUACCA